rnacentral:lncRNA from 1 species
UCAGUUCGAAGUGGUCACAAAAAAUUAUAGAGUUUCGCUUUAAAAGUAACAUUCCAAAUAGACCUAUCUACAAACAUUUCUACAAAGCUUUGUUGGACACUGCAGUUCCCCCAAAAGUGAAUAUUAUAAACUGCAGAUUUUUUAACAACAAUAUUCCUAGCUAUCAUAAUUUGCAGAUUAAAAGGCUCAGGAACAUAACUAUUUUCCCGAGAUGCAAGGUCGGUGUUGAAACAAACGAGCAUAUUAUCCGUGACUGUCUCAGGAGUAUUUGGGAUGUUUUGGGGUUGAAUAGACCUGCGAGGAGAGACAAUGAAGACUUUAAAUCUUCGUUUAUGAGUUGGUUCGAAAUCAUGAACAGUUCGAAUGUCAGCUACCACAUUAUAAUCUGGGCUGUUUGGUUUCCCAGAAACAAAUUGGUUCAUGACAAAGUUGCUCAAAAUACUACCGAGGUCGUCACAUGGAUUAGGUCUUUUCAAGAGGAAUUUAAAAUUCAUAACACUGUUGGAGCUAGGAAUGACGACCAGUAACUGACUGUUUGGAAACCCCCAGAGAGGUCGUGGGUUUGUGUUAACUUCGACGCGUCUUACGAUUCUGCAACCAAACACUUGGUUUCAGGUAUAGUUGUGAGAAAGGAAGAUGGGAUUGUAGUAAAGGCUGGAGUGAUAACAAAUUCGAACAUUACUGACCCGUUUCUUGUAGAGGCCAUUCCAUGCAAGGAGGCGAUGGCUCUUGCCGUCUCGUUGAGAGUUCAUAGCCUCGAGGUUGAAGGAGACCUAAAAUCCGUCAUCAAAAGAAUGAAAGCCACAACAGACGAUAGGUCAGUCCUUAGACCAAUUAUUGUUGAGGGGAAACAAAUAGAAAAAUCGUUUGAUAAUUGUAAAUUUAAGUUUAUUCCAAUAAAAGGAUAUAAACUUGCCCACCAAAUUUUUUCCCAGAAACACUACUUGGUGGGAUGAUUUACCUUUUCGAUUGAAGAAGUUUGCUAAUGAGGAUCGACAGAGAUCCAAUCCGCCAUUGGGUUGACGCCUGGAAUCGUUAAUUAAGGCUUCCCUUGCAAAAUUGGUUUUUAACAGAGGGUGGGAGGCGACAUUUUGUUACGUGCUGGUAGCUUUUCGGAAAGUGAAGUGUUGAGGACUGUUUUUUUCAUUUUAUCUGUUCACUUUAUUGUUCUUUUAUUACUCAUUUUUUUAAUAAUAUAUGAGCUACAACUAGUUUCUAUUAAAAAAGAAGAAGAAAAAAACACUUGCUAUAAUUUUAUAUCAUCCUAG